rnacentral:rRNA from 1 species
CCUACGGGUGGCAGCAGUGAGGAAUAUUGGUCAAUGGGCGGAAGCCUGAACCAGCCAAGUCGCGUGCAGGAUGACGGCCCUACGGGUUGUAAACUGCUUUUAUACGGGAAUAACGCGCCUUACGUGUAGGGCUCUGCAUGUACCGUCUGAAUAAGGACGGGCUAAUUCCGUGCCAGCAGCCGCGGUAAUACGGAAGGUCCGGGCGUUAUCCGGAUUUAUUGGGUUUAAAGGGAGCGUAGGCCGCAUGUCAAGCGUGCUGUGAAAUGUCCGGGCUCAACCCGGGCCGUGCAGGUGAAACUGGCGUGCUUGAGUGCGCGGAAGGCAGGCGGAAUUCGUGGUGUAGCGGUGAAAUGCUUAGAUAUGACGAAGAACCCCGAUUGCGAAGGCAGCUUGCUGCAGCGGAACUGACGCUGAUGCUCGAAAGCGCGGGUAUCGAACAGGAUUAGAUACCCGUGUAGUC